UCAUAUGUUAAUUGUGGGGCUGUAAUUCGACUCCUGAGGGUGUCACCUCCCAGGCGACCUGAGUGAGGGGAAUGGGGGGUGGGAGGGGAGAAGAAGCGGGCUCCCGGCUGGUGUCCUAGCGGCCCCAGCUCAGAUGAGACCCAGGGUAGGCGGCUCCCGGCCAAGCUGGACGCGCCUAGAGCCUUCGGGGCACCAACUGGAGUAGCCCGCCUGGCCUGAGAUCCCUCCAAGCCUGGAUCACAGCUCUCAAGAAACUCGUAAAAUCGCCCAUGUGCAAUGUGACAGAAAUACAUAUAGAGAGGGUCACCCGUGCUCACUGACUGUCCUACCACUGUUCAGAUGUGCAGCUGCUGGAGGUGUUGAGAAUGGGCAGGCAAGGAUGAAGGGAGAGUUGAUGGGGGAUAAGUCCUAAUUGGAGUUGAUACUGGCCAGUGGCAAGUGUGAGUGCUUCCGUGUUUUUCAGGACCCGAGCACAUGGAGGCCAUACGGCCCAUGGGCAGGGUGGACCUCCUUCUUCAAUUAAAGCUCCCUGGGAAGGCUCUAAAGAAUAUCCAGAGGAUUCUCUCUGAGAGACUCCAGAUCCCAAUUAGGCUCACAAUCAAGAUUAACUCACACCAAUUGAAUAUAAAGCUAAGAUGGCAGCAUGCAAGGGACCAGAGCCAAGUACUCUGCUCAUUAAAACUGUCUGCAUACAACCUGGACUUUACGAAGAAUGUGAGAGGGUACAGGCGAGAAGACUGAGCACACAGCAAGGUUAAAAAGCAGUUGCCAUUUACUAUAAGCCAUCAAUGUAAGGAUGGUUCUCUGCACAUUGGACAGGGAGCAGAACAAUCUUCUGGUGACUUCCAGGUUUCCCACUACAGAAGCUGUUGUUGUGUCUCUUUAUUCUACCCCCCAUGUCUGCAAUCCAGUCACACUGAUUCACUCCUUAACGGGAUCAUUUAGAGCAAUCAAUUUAAAAACCACGAAGCCUUUUACUAAAAGGAGUGAGCUCUUAGCUUGAAAGUAUACAGAAUUCAGACAUGAGUUGUGGAGAUGUCCUGCUUCUUCUCACCAUCGUGUCUAUUGGCUGAGUUCCAUUUGCUGUUGGAACUUCUAACACGAAAUUCCCUGAAAAGUGUGGCACUCUGGCCAGCUGUGGGCUCUGCUUGACUACUCCUUCCUACAAAAUGCUGCCUUCAUUAUUUUCUCUCUCCCAUAUAUCUGUCUCUCACCAGGUGAUUUCUGCGUCUCGUUGGGGCAGACAGAGGGUUUGUCACCUCUGAGUAUUGGAAGUGAGUUACAAUUUAAAGAUUGCGAAUCAACGGAAAUGCUCACUGUCAGUUGCCUUGGAAGUUCCCCGUGCAGACUCUUCCCUGUGUUUUACCAUACAUGCAUCAGUCUCAAUUGUAUGUCAGCUAUGUUAGAACAUCUUCUCCCUCCCAUAGCCUGGAGAAGGCAAGUGCAGACAAAUGAACAAUCAAAAGAGCUCAAACAUACUGAGUUUUCAUAACUUAAUAAAGGAAUUGAGUUCAACCAGAUAAGUAUUUAU